GUGCCAGCCGCCGCGGUAAUACGGAAGGUCCGGGCGUUAUCCGGAUUUAUUGGGUUUAAAGGGAGCGCAGGCUGAUGAUUAAGCGUGACGUGAAAUGUAGCCGCUCAACGGCUGAGUUGCGUCGCGAACUGGUUAUCUUGAGUGAGUACGACGUCGGCGGAAUUCGUGGUGUAGCGGUGAAAUGCUUAGAUAUCACGAAGAACCCCGAUUGCGAAGGCAGCUGACGAGUCCUUAACUGACGCUAAAGCUCGAAGGUGCGGGUAUCGAACAGGAUUAGAUACCCUGGUAGUCCGCACGGUAAACGAUGGAUGCCCGCUGUUGGCGAUAUACCGCCAGUGGCCAAGCGAAAGCGUUAAGCAUCCCACCUGGGGAGUACGCCGGCAACGGUGAAACUCAAAGGAAUUGACGGGGGCCCGCACAAGCGGAGGAACAUGUGGUUUAAUUCGAUGAUACGCGAGGAACCUUACCCGGGCUUGAACUGCAGCAGAACGAUCCAGAGAUGGUGAGGCCCUUCGGGGCUGCUGUGGAGGUGCUGCAUGGUUGUCGUCAGCUCGUGCCGUGAGGUGUCGGCUUAAGUGCCAUAACGAGCGCAACCCCUUUCGCCAGUUGCCAUCAGGUGAUGCUGGGCACUCCGGCGACACCGCCACCGUAAGGUGUGAGGAAGGUGGGGAUGACGUCAAAUCAGCACGGCCCUUACGUCCGGGGCUACACACGUGUUACAAUGGGGAGUACAGAGAGUCAGGUGCCGGCAACGUCGCCUCAAUCAUGAAAGCUCUCCUCAGUUCGGAUUGGGGUCUGCAACCCGACCCCAUGAAGCUGGAUUCGCUAGUAAUCGCGCAUCAGCCAUGGCGCGGUGAAUACGUUCCCGGGCCUUGUACACACCGCCCGU
rnacentral:rRNA from 1 species